rnacentral:rRNA from 1 species
UACAGAGGGGGCAAGCGUUAUUCGGAAUUAUUGGGCGUAAAGGGCGCGUAGGCGGCUUUUCAAGUGACGGGUGAAAUCCCUCGGCUUAACCGAGGAACUGCCUGUCAGACUGGAAGGCUUGAGACCGGGAGAGGUGAGUGGAAUUCCCAGUGUAGAGGUGAAAUUCGUAGAUAUUCGGAGGAACACCAGUGGCGAAGGCGGCUCACUGGUCCGGUACUGACGCUGAGGUGCGAAAGCGUGGGGAGCAAACAGG